GACGCAUGGAAGCCCUGGUGGCAGGAGGAAAAUGAAGGAGAGCAAAGCAUCAGUGCCAGGCUUCCAGACACAGAGGCACGGUCCUCAGAGCAGGCCAGGAGCUGCACCCAGCCAAGGCAGAGAGUCUCCUGCUGUGCCAGACAAUUAACAGGACGCAGAGUCAGCUGACACCAUGAAAAGCAGCCAGCACACCACCUAAAAGCUCCAUUGCACCAAGAACCAAGAAAAUCACAACUUGAAAGAAACAAGAGAAUCAGCUGAUGCCAACACUGAGAUGCACCAAUGCUGGGCUCGUGUGCUGAGCUAACAGAAGAAUGACAAGCAGCCAUGAUGCAGCUGCUUUGAGUUCAGGGCAGCACGUUGGUGCCAGCAGGCUGGGACAGCCACACAUGGAUACCGGAGAAACCGCCGGGAAAACCAAGUGAGAAGCUUCAGGUGUGUAGCCCUGGGAGACAGGGAGGCAGCAUGGCCAGAGGCUCUGCUGUCUGGAAAUCCAAAGGGAGACUUGCAGGGACCUGCCACCAACAGAUUCCCAAGAUGUGCUGUGGUGGGAGGCUGACCACGACGCCCAGCUGUUACUCACCAGUGAUUUGAGGACAGAGGAUUCUGGAGAUGGGAGGCUGACCAUGACGCCCAGCUGUUACUCACCAGUGAUUUGAGGACAGAGGGUUCUGGAGCAAAGUUUGUACUUUAUAGAAUGCUCACAAUUAAUACACCAUGGUAGCUGAAAUAGAAACCAUGUCAUUGGAGGACUGGUGCUAUUUAAUUAAGCCACAGUAGCCAAAAGUAAAGCAAGAACCACCACUGUUGAGGAGGAUAUGAAGAAUCUGGAACUCUCAAGAGUCGUGUGCGGAAAUGCAGAAUGGCACAGCCACUCUGCAAAGCAGAAGGGUGGUUCUUGCCACAUGAGGCAUGUACUUCCCGUGUGACUCAUCAAUACCACUCCUAGAUAUUUUCCUAAAUAAAUGUUCACAAAAAUACGCACAAA